GCCUGAGGAGGGAGCAUGGCCGGGCCUCCACCACCGCCGCCCUUCGCCGCGCGCUUCCCGCCGCCGGGCCUGGGCCCGGGCCCGGGCCCGUUCCGCGGCUUCCCGCCGCCGCCGCCGCCUCCUCCGCCCGGGCCGCGCUUCCCGGGGCCGCCGCCCUUCCUGCCGCCGCCCGGCCCCGACCCGCCGCUGCUGCUGCCCGCCGCCGCCGCCUACUGCCGGCCCGGGCCGCCCGCCUGGGCGCCGCCGCCUCCGCCGGGCUGCGGGCCGGGCGCGGGGCCGAGGCCGGGGCUGGGGCCGGGGCCGGGGCCAGGGCCGGGCGCGGAGCGGCAGCGGGACGAGCAGUGGGUGGCGCAGUUGAUGUCGCGGCGGCGCGCGCGGCCCGCGCCUCCCCCUCCCCCUCCCUCUCCGCCCGCGCCCCCGCCUCCCCCUCCCACAGGCCCUGCGCCUGCCCCGUGCGCGGGCCCGAGCGAGCGUCGGGCGCGCGCGCUGGCGGCGGGGGCGCUGCCGCUGGUGGCCGAGGUGGCGGCGCGCUGCGCGGCCCUGCGCCGCCUGGAGGAGGCGGGGGCGGAGCGCGGGGCCGAGGCGGAGCGGGAGCGCGAGCGCGCCGGGGCCGCCCUGGCCGCCCUGCGGGAGCGCGCCGCCCCCCUGCGCGCCCCCGCCUUCCUGGCGGCCCUGCGGGAGCGCGCGGCGCGGGCCCGCGAGAAGCGGCGGCGCCGGCGGCGGGGGGCGCGCGCGGCCCGCGCCGAGGAGGAGGCGCGCGCCGCCGAGCGCGAGGCCCUCAUCGACCGGUGGCGCGCGCGGCGCGGGCACGAGGCGGCCGAGAGGGCGCGGGAGCAGGAGCUCAAAGCGGCUGCCGACAGCGUCUUGUCGGAGGUAAGGAGGAAGCAGGCAGACACGAAGAGAAUGGUGGAAAUCCUUCGGGGCUUAGAAAAGCUUAGAAAACUGAGAAAAGAAGCCGCAGGAAGAAAAGGUGUCUGUCCACCCCCAUCAGCAGAUGAAGCUUUUGAACAUAAUAUUCAGAAGAUGAGGACAUUGAUUAAAAAACGGACUGAACUGUAUGAAGCUGAAGAGAGAGCUCUACGAGUCAUGUUAGAAGGAGAGCAGGAAGAAGAGAGGAAAAGAGAAAUGGAAAAGAAGCAGAAGAAAGAAAGAGAGAAGCUUCUGCAGCAGAAACGUGAAAUCGAGUCUGUGCUGUUUGGCAAUCCGGAUGAGUUCCCCCUUGGCCAUCUGCUGCGACCCUUCCAACAGUAUUAUUUACAAGCUGAGCAUUCUGUACCAGUCCUCAUCCAGAUCAGGCAUGAAUGGGACCGGUAUUUGGUACCAGCAGAUCAUCCUGAAGGAAGCUGCAUCCCUCCAGGAUGGGUCCUCCCAGCUCCUCCUACCAGUGACACUUGGGCCACUGCUGUCAGAUAACUUUACCAUAAGACAGUCUGAAGUUUUGGAGUGUCACAUUAAAGGUGUGUAUAGUGCCGUUUCAUUUUAAUUAUGGAAGAACACGGAUUUCUGGCACCGGGCACCCAGCUGGAGGACAAAUGAGGUGGCUGACCUGGCCAUUUGGGGCCAGGAGGACACGUUUUGACGGUUCACAGUGGGCCACCACAAUGAGCACAUCUUCCAGGCACUAGCUGCCCAGAUGGCAGGGCAGGGGCACACAUGGCAGGCAUGCUGCACAAAGACCAACUGUGCAGCUACAGCCCAAUGGCAGCUGGCCCAGAGGUGCAGACGGCUCUGCUGCAGUGCCCAUACCACAUCCCGGGCAGCUGUGCGAUUUCCCCAUCUGGCUCUGGCAGGCAUUCAGAUGUGGGGCUGCAGGUCUAAGGGGAUGGAUGCUGUUGCAUGUGGCAGCAGGUCACAGCCAGGUAGCAGCUCCCACUGCCAGACUGCUGCAGUGGGUAGAGAGGGCAAGGGCUGUCUCUCUCCAUAUAUCAGCUGGCUGGGCCUCAGAAGCUCCUGAGAGUAAGUAGCCCUGAGCUGUUUGCCAGGGCAGCUUUUUAUACUGCUGGGGCCAGCCCUUUCAGCUCCCGGUGACUGCAGAUCCAGGAGUGUGGAGGAUAAGAAAAGAGUGGGUGGGGUGAAUUGCUGGUGCAGCAAUUCACCCAGCUCAGCUGGUGCCAGAAUCAGCCCAGCCCAGCUGGCAGUACCAUGUGUUUUGGUGCGAGUGCAGGAGCUGCAGGUGUGCCAGGCUGAGCCCCGGUGGUGGAAGCAACUGGGCAGGCUGUGCUUCUCGCCCCUGUGCGCAGCGCUGGCCAGAGCCACCCCUGGUGCUGCUGGCAGUGGGGCUGCACGCCCCUCCCCUCUAGCCCCCAACCCCUACCAACAUAUACACAUACCUGAACAUACGCCAUGCCCCCUGCACAAACCUCUCAUGCACCCCGCCAUAUCCCCCACACGCAAUAUAAGAGUGAGACUUUAUUUUUGAGUUAUUAUCCAAUUCCCUUCUAUACAGCCCGUGACACCUGUUUUUUGUAAUAAAAAUAAGUUCUAGCAGGCA